GUGGGGAAUCUUGCACAAUGGGGGAAACCCUGAUGCAGCGACGCCGCGUGAGCGAUGAAGCCCCUCGGGGUGUAAAGCUCUUUCGGCAGGGAAGAAUACUGACGGUACCUGCAGAAGCAGCUGCGGCUAACUACGUGCCAGCAGCCGCGGUAAUACGUAGGCAGCGAGCGUUGUUCGGAGUUACUGGGCGUAAAGGGUGUGUAGGCGGUUCUCUAAGUUCGGUGUGAAAUCUCCCGGCUCAACUGGGAGGGUGCGCCGGAAACUGGAAGGCUUCGAGUGCGGGAUGGGAGAGUGGAAUUCCUGGUGUAGCGGUGAAAUGCGUAGAUAUCAGGAGGAACACCUGUGGUGUAGACGGCUCUCUGGACCGUAACUGACGCUGAAACACGAAAGCGUGGGUAGCAAACAGGAUUAGAAACCCCAGUAGUCC
rnacentral:rRNA from 1 species